GCGCGGUGGCCGGUGAGCCACAACGGCUGCGCCGCCGCGCCGGAGAUGAAAGUAUGUCCUUUUUUUAUUUUUUUUCGUCCUCUCUCCUUCUUUUCUCUCCUUCUUUCCGAUUUUUAACUCAAAAAUGCUCAAAACCCAACGGUUUGACCUAGAUCUAAAAUGAAAGAAAUAUUACUUUUUGAGUCUGGAUGUUUGCGGAUUCAGUUUAAGAUGUUGUGUUUCUGUAACACGGUUUUGAAAUUCUGAUGUGUGGUUUUGAAUGUUUGUUGAUGGUUUUGGUUGGAUUGAGUUGGUGCUGAAAAUGGUGAUUCGGUUCUGAAAACGGCUUGGAUCGGAUCCGGGUUGAUGAAUGGCCUUGAUUCGGUUUUGUGAAAGAUUUGUUGUUUGCAGGUUUUGCGAUUUUAAAAUCUGUUUUUUUUUGUCUGUUGGGCCCUCUUUAUUUUUUGUCUGUGUGCAGGUGGUUAUAUUUAUAGAGCUGAAUUUCUGUUGCUUGGAGAGGAACACGAUAUUUUGUUGCUUGGAGAAGAAAUUGACAGUUGUGAAUGAGCUGUUUGUGAGCUGUUUAUUUGGAUAUUAUCGGACAAAAUUCUGAUUUAUUUUUGGACAUUAAAAAUAAAAUAAAAGGACUAAGAAUAAAUGAAACAAAAAUAAGAUAAAAGGUUAAAGAUGAAAUGAAUUUAAAGUUAAUAAAAGAUGGAAAUUAAAAUUAAAUGAAAAUUGAGAGAAGAGGGCCCGA
rnacentral:lncRNA from 1 species